GUUGUGGGUGAAGUUUAUUAAGGCAAUACUGAAUACCAGAGCAUUUCAACAAGGCUUACCACACAGGCCCCAGUACCUUUCUACUCUACAAUGAGGCUCAGAAGCUCAGUGUACCACCCCAUCCCCAGGAGGCCCACUUAGACCAGAAAUCCCAAGUCCAUUAGCUACAGGCUGAUAUUCAGGGACAUCGGUGUAAACAAAGAAGUGGGAUAUGAACUAUAUCCCUGAUUUUUUUUUCUUUUUUUUUUUUUUUGAGACUAAGUCUCACUCUUGUCCCCCAGGCUGGAGUGCAAUGGCGCGAUCUUGGCUCACUGCAACCUCCGCCUCUCAGGUUCAAGAGAUUCUCUUGCCUCAGCCUCCUAACUGGGAUAACAGACACCUGCUACCAUGCCCGGCUCAUUUUUUUUUGUAUUUUUAGUAGAGACGGGGUUUCACCAUGUUGGCCUGGCUGGUCUCGAACACCUGACCUCAGGUGUUCCGCCCGCCUCAGCCUCCCAAAGUGCUGGGAUUACAGGUGUGAGCCACCGCACCCGGCCUAUAUUCCUGAUAUUUAACAAGGAAAAAAAAUUCUGCAGGGGAGAACUUUCCUGAAAGAUAUUUUUUCUGGACAUCUCUCUCUACUGACUGAUAGGCUGAGGCAGAAGAACUGCUUGCACCCAGGAGGCGGAGGUUGCAGUGAGCCAAGAUCAUGCCAUUGCACUCCAGCCUGGGCAACAGAGCGAGACUCUGUCUC
rnacentral:lncRNA from 10 species